rnacentral:rRNA from 1 species
AAAAUAAUAUAAACGGCGUAAAGCACGACUAAAACAAAGUUAUAGCACUAGAGAAUGAAACAAAACUAGGCUGUAAAAAGCCAUAAGAUACAAUAAACACAUCUAGUAUAAACAAAUUCCACUCGUGAAAGCCAGGACACAAACUAAGAUUAGAUACCUUACUAUGCCCGGCUGUAACAUACAAUUAAAUUACCAAUUGUCCGCCAAAUAACUACGAGUGAAAACUUAAAAUUUAAAAGACUUGACGGUACUCCACAACAACCUAGAGGAGCCUGUCCAUAACCGAUACCCCACGAUUAACCCAACCCCAGCUAGCCUAAACAGUCUAUAUACCGCCGUCGCCAGCCUACCUUAUGAAAGAAACAAAGUAGACCAAACAGUCACACACUAAUAAGACAGGUCGAGGUGUAACUUAUGCAGGGGUAAAGAUGGGCUACAUUUUCUAAUAUAGAAAAUCUAACGGAUUAACCAUGAAAAAGAAAAUGAAGGCGGAUUUAGCAGUAUACCAGGAAUAAAAUACCUAGUCGAAACUAAUGCAAUGGAGUGCGUACACACCGCCCGUCAUCCCUGUUGACAGACAAAAAAAAUUCAUAAA